rnacentral:misc_RNA from 1 species
AACCAUAGAAACCUGCGGAGUACCUGCGGAAGGAUCAUUACCGAGUGCGGAUCCUCGUGGCCCAACCUCCCACCCGUGACUAUUGUACCUUGUUGCUUCGGCGGGCCCGCCAGCCCUGCUGGCCGCCGGGGGGCGUCUCGCCCCCGGGCCCGUGCCCGCCGGAGACCCCAACAUGAACCCUGUUCUGAAAGCUUGCAGUCUGAGUGUGAUUCUUUGCAAUCAGUUAAAACUUUCAACAAU